rnacentral:rRNA from 1 species
AGCUCCAAUAGCGUAUAUUAAAGUUGCUGCAGUUAAAAAGCUCGUAGUUGGAUCUCGGGGUACCUGGUCUAGCCGGUAUAGCUCACGCUAAAACUGGUCUGACCCCCCAACGUGAGGUAUUCGUCUCCGGGUGCACUUCAUUGGGUGCUCGUGAGGGGCCUCGUAGUUACUGUGAAAAAAUUAGAGUGUUCAAAGCAGGCUCAUAUGUUCGGAUAGUCGUGCAUGGAAUAACUGAAUACGUGACUGGCGCUUUUCAGUUGGUCUCGGCGACUGGUCAAAUGAUUAAGAGGGACUGCCGGGGGCAUUGGUAUGGCGGGGUUAGAGGUGAAAUUCUUGGACCGUUUGAAGACUAACUACAGCGAAAGCAUUUGCCAAGAGUGGUUUCA